GAUGAACGCUGGCGGCGUGCCUAAUACAUGCAAGUCGAGCGAACAGACGAGGCGCUUGCUCCUCUGACGUUAGCGGCGGACGGGUGAGUAACACGUGGAUAACCUACCUAUAAGACUGGGAUAACUUCGGGAAACCGGAGCUAAUACCGGAUAAUAUAUUGAACCGCAUGGUUCAAUAGUGAAAGACGGUUUUGCUGUCACUUCUAGAUGGAUCCGCGCCGCAUUAGCUAGUUGGUAAGGUAACGGCUUACCAAGGCGACGAUGCGUAGCCGACCUGAGAGGGUGAUCGGCCACACUGGAACUGAGACACGGUCCAGACUCCUACGGGAGGCAGCAGUAGGGAAUCUUCCGCAAUGGGCGAAAGCCUGACGGAGCAACGCCGCGUGAGUGAUGAAGGUCUUCGGAUCGUAAAACUCUGUUAUUAGGGAAGAACAAAUGUGUAAGUAACUAUGCACGUCUUGACGGUACCUAAUCAGAAAGCCACGGCUAACUACGUG
rnacentral:rRNA from 1 species